UACGUAGGGUGCAAGCGUUGUUCGGAAUUAUUGGGCGUAAAGCGCGUGUAGGUGGUUUGGCAAGUCAGAUGUGAAAUCCCUGGGCUCAACCGAGGAAGGGCAUCUGAAACUGCUUUUCUUGAGGACGGUAGAGGGAGGUGGAAUUCCUAGUGUAGAGGUGAAAUUCGUAGAUAUUAGGAGGAAUACCGGUGGCGAAGGCGGCCUCCUGGGCCGUUCCUGACACUAAGACGAGAAAGCGUGGGGAGCAAACAGG
rnacentral:rRNA from 1 species